CCUAACACAUGCAAGUCGAACGGGGUAAAGAGCUUCGGUUUUUUACUUAGUGGCGAACGGGUGAGUAACGCGUGAGAAACCUGCCUUUCAGUGGGGGACAACAGUUGGAAACGACUGCUAAUACCGCAUAAUGUAUCGAGAGGGCAUCCUUUUGAUACCAAAGCUUUAUGUGCUGAAAGAUGGUCUCGCGUCUGAUUAGCUUGUUGGCGGGGGUAACGGCCCACCAAGGCGACGAUCAGUAGCCGGUCUGAGAGGAUGAACGGCCACAUUGGGACUGAGAUACGGCCCAGACUCCUACGGGAGGCAGCAGUGGGGAAUAUUGCGCAAUGGAGGAAACUCUGACGCAGUGACGCCGCGUAUAGGAAGAAGGUUUUCGGAUUGUAAACUAUUGUCGUUAGGGAAGAUACAAGACAGUACCUAAGGAGGAAGCCCCGGCUAACUAUGUG
rnacentral:rRNA from 1 species